UACGUAGGUGGCAAGCGUUGUCCGGAAUUAUUGGGCGUAAAGCGCGCGCAGGCGGCCUUUUAAGUCUGAUGUGAAAGCCCACGGCUCAACCGUGGAAGGUCAUUGGAAACUGAAAGGCUUGAGUACAGAAGAGGAAAGCGGAAUUCCACGUGUAGCGGUGAAAUGCGUAGAUAUAGGAAGGAACACCAGUGGCGAAGGCGACCACCUGGACUGAUACUGACACUGAGGUGCGAAAGCGUGGGGAGCAAACAGG
rnacentral:rRNA from 1 species